rnacentral:rRNA from 1 species
AGGUUAAGUUAUUAAGGGCGCAUGGCGGAUGCCUUGGCACUAGAAGCCGAUGAAGGACGGCACUAACACCGAUAUGCUUCGGGGAGCUGUAAGUAAGCUUUGAUCCGGAGAUUUCCGAAUGGGGGAACCCACUGUUUUUAAUAG